UUGCAAACAAAGAAGAAAUAACUCAUCAGGUGGUGAACCUCUGACCCUGGAUCAAAGUCACUGACCUGAUGCUACAGUAGCCUUUGCCUUUACUGUGGAGGCUGUGAGCCGAGUGAGAACUGGCCCACAACUGCCUCCACAGCCCCUGUCACUGAGGCUUUAUAUGGCUGCCUGCAGCUGUGGAGAGCUUGAUGCCCCUGUGGGAUCAUGAGAUGCUUGAAUUAAAAAUUUCCAGGUAUUGUACAAACAAAAGAGAAAAGGAUCUACCCAAAUCUGCUGCUGUUGGCUGCCGGUGAGGUCCCAACCCUGCAAGGUGCCAGCCAUGCUGGUAGGAGAUUGAUAAGAAGACUGGGGCAUCCUGGGAACUGAGGAUUUCAAGGUCAAUUGGUCAUGUCUGCUGUUUGGAACAGCCCCAGCACUGCCAUUAUCUAUCCCCCUGAUGAACCUGUUGGUGGCUGCAGCUACUGGAGGUUGGGAGCUGGGGCAUCCAAGCUUAAGUACCCAAUAGACCUCUCCAGACAUCCUGGUGAACAAAUGUCAAAAUGCCAUGCAUACGUGGGCAUAAGUUUGACUGUUUAAAAGGUAGAGUCUAAUCCCAAAUGGUAACUAGAUAUGAGUUGCAUUAGAGACCCCUUGGAGCCCAGGAGGAGUUUGUAAGAUGGUGGGUAUUGAAGCUAUUGUGAGAUGAUGGUGUUUCCAGAGACAAAAUGGGGAUCAAGGGGAACCAACAGAGACAAAGACCCUCAUUGUUCACAUCUCAGCCUUGGAUUCAUCUUACGCAUCUUAUUGAUUAUGUUGUUAACAUAAGUAACUAGAGAUAUGGUGUUACUUGAAUCACUAGUAUGUGUUAGCAGGAAACCAGGGGCAUGCUGAUACUUGAAGUUCUUGUAGUUGACCCCUGACUCUGGGGUAAGAGUAAAGCAUUCCUCAAAAACUUAGAACGACCAAGUGUAGACUGGAUGGUAUAGCUCUGUGUGGUAGAAGACUUAGUUCUCUUUUGGUUUUACCAGAAGAUAUUGCAAGAUGGAUAGUAUUAUCUCUGGUAAA